rnacentral:rRNA from 1 species
ACGGGUGAGUAACACGUGGGUGAUCUGCCCUGCACUCUGGGAUAAGCCUGGGAAACUGGGUCUAAUACCGGAUAUGACCUCUGGUUGCAUGACCGGGGGUGGAAAGAUUUAUCGGUGCAGGAUGGGCCCGCGGCCUAUCAGCUUGUUGGUGGGGUAAUGGCCUACCAAGGCGACGACGGGUAGCCGGCCUGAGAGGGCGACCGGCCACACUGGGACUGAGACACGGCCCAGACUCCUACGGGAGGCAGCAGUGGGGAAUAUUGCACAAUGGGCGGAAGCCUGAUGCAGCGACGCCGCGUGAGGGAUGACGGCCUUCGGGUUGUAAACCUCUUUCGACAGGGACGAAGCGCAAGUGACGGUACCUGUAGAAGAAGCACCGGCCAACUACGUGCCAGCAGCCGCGGUAAUACGUAGGGUGCGAGCGUUGUCCGGAAUUACUGGGCGUAAAGAGCUUGUAGGCGGCUUGUCGCGUC